AAGACCCCUUUCCUUUUUGCUUUAGUAAACCCACUCCUUGAACCUCUAGGUUUAUUAGCCACUCUUGCCCUAUCAGACUUCUUAACCAUCUUGGUAUCCCCCGAAUCUUCUUCUCUUAAACUUACGUCUUUAUUCUUGCCUUCUUGACCACAAAAGUUCACACUAAUUUCCUCCCCAUGAUUGUUGUUAAGCACACCAAAUCUGGAGCCAUCGCUCAUAGCACCGUUUGUGGUGCUACCAGAAUUCGUAACUGGCCGAGUUUUACUCUUAUUCUUGCAUUCAACAAGCAUCCAUGAGCCAAAUUAUUCUUCCUCCACUCUUUGUUGCAUCUCCGUUUCUCGUGAAAGUAAUUAUUCCUCUCCAACUUCCUAUGAACCCUCUUUGUCAGACUUGAAAUAACAAUUGUAACAGUAGUGCCUAAAUCGACCACAGUCGAAACAAACCAUGGGAAGAGCUUCAUUCUCAAUUCAUUGGAUUCUCCCAUCAAUAUUUAUCUUUGACACCAAAGGUUUCCCUAGAUCAAUAUAAACAACCAAACGAGCAAACUUUCCCUUGGAAUUAUUUUCGGUAUUCUUAUCCACCUUUGCCACUAGUCCGAUAACCCCACCAAUAAAUUUCAGGAGACUCUUGGAGUACAUGCCUUCAGGUAGUCCAGGAAGUCGAAUCCAAACCAAUAAACUUUGGGGUUGCAACUGACCGGUCAAAAACGACGGCGUCCAAGGUCUUAUCGUAAGGUAGUGCCUGAAUAUUGUCUACGAACCACCAGCUAAAUCAGCCAAGUAAUCCUCAUCCUCUUUGAAUUUAAUUGAAAAAUAAUCGUUUUCUAGAUCUAGAAUUUGUAUUGGUUAUUUUAUCCUCCAUAAUGCUUGCAAUUUACUGGUCAUGGUCAGAUAAGAAAUCUUUCUCCUAAUCAGUUUAACCAGCAUUGUUCGUGACAUACUUUUAACAAUAAACUAGUGUACUUUGUCAGAGAAUGUAAUGGAUGAGAUGCCAUCUACAAUCUCCUUAGUAACAUCUCCAUCUAAAAGUUCAAACUCAUCCUCCUACGAAAUGACUGUCAUCGAUUGAUUGCCAAUAAGCUUAUCCUUCCAGGAGAUCACUCUAUCACUAUCCUACAUUCAUAUCGUUCACAUCAACAACAGGAUCAUUCGAAUCCAAAUCAGGAGAUUCCGCCAGCCUGCGCCAGACCUUCUUGACAGAUCUUCCCACAAUACCGGCUAGAGAAUUCAUGUUCUUAUUAAAUUCAUGUGUUAUCAUUAAUUAGCUUCAAAUAAUAUGUUUCAUUUUUUAUUAUAUGUUGUUUUAAACACUUCUCUGUGUUCUAAGUAUGUAAUUUCUUUAUGCAUAUAUAUGUGAUAAAAUUUCUAAUAUAAUCUAUCCUUGUUGCCUAACAAUUUAAUCAUCAAA
rnacentral:lncRNA from 1 species